CUCGACGGCUCCGACUCCGACUCCGAACGCACCACCGCAGAAAUCUCCCCUCCCUCCCGCGGUCCUGCCUGCUGCCUCCCAGUCUCGGCCCUGCGUCCUCCCUCGGGGCCCGCGCGUCCGACGGCGUGCGGCGCACGCGCUGCAUCGGUUCUUCAUGGGAUAUCAUCGUUCCUUGGCUCCUUGCGGGCCAUCCGCAAUUCAGCAUCGUCGUGCCGUGUCUCCUGGCAACGGGGGGAUGAGUAUCCCCACCUGAUUAAUUUACCAUUGAUCCCGGCAACUGCCGGUAGUGGACGGUGCGAGCACCGGGGUACAACAGGUGUGCCAAGGCACAGAUUAAAGAGCAAGGCUGAAAGAAUCCCAGUGCAAAAUUGCUGUCCUGAGAGAUAAGCUUCUGGUUCCCCGAGAGCUGCUGGUUCAUAGUGAGGGUAUCGGAGGCAUGCAAUGGAGACUGUUUGAGAGACAGAAGCAGUAAAAGCAAGGAUAGGGUGCAUGAACAAAGCCGUGUAGCCAUACAAGAAAUCAAGGCGGAAAAGAUGGCCUUCACUUUCCAAGUCUGCUUCUCUCUGGGGGAAUCCGGUGCUGUGACGCUCUCCUGAUGUUGAAGCCGUUAGUUAAAAAUGGCCCUUCUUUGGAUGUACAUUUCAGUCAGCAAUGAUGCUAUAUUCUGAACAACGGUCUGUGAUAAUUCUGGUUAUCAAGUAGGGUCUAUUCUAUGCAGGCUGACUCGUAUUGUGUCUGCAUUCCCCAGGAUCGUUGAAUUGGCAGAGAAAUAGGGGAUCAUGAUGCCGGCCAGGCUCUGAUAAACGUUAAGAACAUAGUAUGUUGCUGAAUCUCCACCCUAUGACAAGGGAUGGUGGCAGCCCAAGAUGAGCUGAUGACUAUGCAGUCAGUGGUCAGCCAGCAGGAACGACCUCUGCCAUGUUCAAAGCUGAAAGAAUCCUAGCACGAAAUUGCCAUCCUGAGAGAUCAUCUUCUGGUUCCCAGAGAGCCGCUGGUUUGCUGUGAGGGUAUCAGAUGCAUGAGAUGGAGAACUUUGCAGAGAAAGAAGCAGUAUAAGUAAGGAUAUGCCAUGUGGAGAAAGCCAGGUCGCCAUUCACAGAGUCAAAGGAAAGGAAGGGUGGCUUCUAUUUUUGAGGACAGAAAGAACUUGGUUUGUUUGUUGUGGCCUUGUCGAGAGAUCCGUGGGCUUCAGUACGAGACACCACUGGGCCUUAAGGUUAUACUCAGGUGGCCGUUGUGCUUCUCAAAAAAGAAAAGAAAAGCGUGAGAGCACGUAUGGACACGUGAGAGCACGUAUUGGCAUGAACUUCGAUCCGUCGUCUAUGAGUUUUGUGGUCUAGAAGAUGGAUAGCUGAGAUGAGACCUGGGAGCAGGCAUAUGCAUGAACAGGAUGGUGCGCGAGUGAUUAAUUAGUUCGAAAAUCUCAUACUUGAAUGCAUUUUUCUAUGAGUUGGUAAUUUUGGAGGCGCUCUUAGCUACGAAACACGGGGGUGGAGGGCCUAGCAACCACACGUGCAGGUAGUUGGACUGGAUCAUUGUUGUUAGCUACGAACGAGACACGAGCGCCUUAUCCGGACUAGUCAUGUUCUAUUAUGUUGUUGUCCAAGUCCUGUUGCCAUCACAUCAACCACCGAGAGUACCUUGCUGGCUAGGUUCCUUAUGGUACAGUAUAUCUUUACCCACUCAUGUGAGUUUCUUACUCAGUACGGAUGCUGGAAAACAAGCUGUAUAUGGCAACCUCAUCGAUUUCACUAUACAUUUGCCAAGUUGUUGGACACAAUUUAAGUUUUUUUUAUAGAAAUAGUAGGCUGUUUACGUGCUAAAUGUCACUGAGAGUGUGUUAGUGUGAGCAUCAGCGUCUGUACUGUAUCCCAAAAAUUACGCAAAAAAUAAAGAUAGGCAUGC